GAAGUCAUAUAUAUAUAUAUAUAUAUAUAUAUAUAUAUAUAUGUAUAUGUAUAUAUAUAUGUAUAUAUGAGUUUCCA